rnacentral:rRNA from 1 species
UGGGGAAUAUUGCACAAUGGGCGCAAGCCUGAUGCAGCCAUGCCGCGUGUAUGAAGAAGGCCUUCGGGUUGUAAAGUACUUUCAGCGAGGAGGAAGGCGGUGUGGUUAAUAACCGCAACGAUUGACGUUACUCGCAGAAGAAGCACCGGCUAACUCCGUGCCAGCAGCCGCGGUAAUACGGAGGGUGCAAGCGUUAAUCGGAAUUACUGGGCGUAAAGCGCACGCAGGCGGUCUGUCAAGUCGGAUGUGAAAUCCCCGGGCUCAACCUGGGAACUGCAUCCGAAACUGGCAGGCUAGAGUCUUGUAGAGGGGGGUAGAAUUCCAGGUGUAGCGGUGAAAUGCGUAGAGAUCUGGAGGAAUACCGGUGGCGAAGGCGGCCCCCUGGACAAAGACUGACGCUCAGGUGCGAAAGCGUGGGGAGCAAACA